AGUGAACGCUGGCGGUAGGCCUAACACAUGCAAGUCGAACGGCAGCACAGUAAGAGCUUGCUCUUACGGGUGGCGAGUGGCGGACGGGUGAGGAAUACAUCGGAAUCUACUUUUUCGUGGGGGAUAACGUAGGGAAACUUACGCUAAUACCGCAUACGACCUACGGGUGAAAGCAGGGGAUCUUCGGACCUUGCGCGAUUGAAUGAGCCGAUGUCGGAUUAGCUAGUUGGCGGGGUAAAGGCCCACCAAGGCGACGAUCCGUAGCUGGUCUGAGAGGACGAUCAGCCACACUGGAACUGAGACACGGUCCAGACUCCUACGGGAGGCAGCAGUGGGGAAUAUUGGACAAUGGGCGCAAGCCUGAUCCAGCCGUACCGCGUGGGUGAAGAAGGCCUUCGGGUUGUAAAGCCCUUUUGUUGGGAAAGAAAAGCAGCAGGUUAAUACCCCGCUGUUCUGACGGUACCCAAAGAAUAAGCACCGGCUAACUUCGUG
rnacentral:rRNA from 1 species